CCUUCCCGCCAAAUAACAUGCUCCUGAGCAGCGCUGGGGUUAGACCUUAGUGCCUGUGAGUGGGUUCGAUGAGUCCUGCCUGACACUUGUAUCAGAGAGAUUCAUCUUCUCAUCUUGAGAAUGAUUUUUGCCACGUGCUGCUCUGGAGAAAAUGAAGACUGUUAACGGGAAGAUUUCCUUCAUCUCAUGAGGCUUUGAGCAUUCUUGGGCUCCCAUACGCACCUCCAUUAAAAGAGGGUGUGUGUGUGUGUGUGUUUUUGAUGUGGAAAUAAGUUACGGUCCGUGUCUCAGAUCGGGCUGCCGUAAUAAAAUAUCAUAGACUGGGUGACUUCACAUCACAUCACAUUUCUCACAGUUCUUGAGCCCAGGGAGUUUCUAUUGACACUUUGUGAUUGACUGGGUCACAGUUUCCUGUGUCCUCACACGUCUAGCAUUUUUAUUUUGUAGAGGAAAUUAGGGAUGACAUAUUGCUAGGAGUCUUUGAGUUUUGUGACUUUGUUGGAUGUGUCUAGAGUAAGGCUUCUCUUACAGCAGCGUUUCUCAGACUCCAGAAAGCAUCUUCCAGACCUAUGGCGUUUUGGACUGGAAGAGUCUUCAUUUUAAGGGCUGUCCUGUUCAUUACAAAAUGUUUAUCUGCAUCCCAGGCCUCUACAUGUUUCUUGCCAGUAGCCUCCUCCAAGUUUUGACAACCCCCAAAUGUGUCCAGACAUUUUCCAAAUGUCUCCUGAGGAGCCUAAUUUCCCCCCAAGGACUAACUUACCCUUAUUCCUAAGGUAUGGUCUUUCUUGGGUCUCAAUCGAUGUGUUCCCAGAGGUCAUUAGACUUUUCUGGGUCAGAAUUCUAACUUGUCUCAGCUAAGUUCAUCCUUCUGAAUCCCCUUUUAUUCAGGGGCUGCUGGUAGCUGUUUUCAGGCAAGAUUCAUGUGUGUGUAUAUAUGCCAGCUUUAUUUUCAACCGAAGACUGAAGGCGAUUUGAAUACAGAUUUUUCUGAGCUCUUUCUCUGUGAAGUUAUCUUUUAUGGUACCCUGUCUAACAAAUUCCAGCUGGUUCAUCAGUUCUGAACUCCUAUCUCCGUUUUUUUGACAAAGCAAUACUAUGGCUGUCCAUCAGGCUAUAUUUAUCUUCUCUGUGGUUUGGAAAUAGAGCCAGGCAGACAUUUGGGGUGAAUGUGGAACUUUCCUCACACACUGUCCUUCUCUCAAGGGUUCAAAGUCAGAUAUGUUGUAUUUUAACAUGGCCACUGCUGUGUUCUCAGGCUUUACAGCUGCUUAGUGCCCAAGGGUAGGGCUGAGACACAUCCCUUCACCAUGUUGGGAAACAGAAGGGUAUGUUCCUUUCAAACAAGGCAUUUCUUUUUAAUAGAAAUCAGGAAACUAUUCUAUAACUGCAUUUUUUAUUCUUAUCUAUUCUCCCAUCCACUUUUUCCAGCCAAAUUUCAUAUCCUCAAAAUCCCAAAUAGCCCCAACUCAAAACCAAAACCUAUUUAAAAAUUUUUUCUGAAUUUGUUUUAUUCAGCUAAUCAAACAGUUCAUUGCUUAAUGACAGUGAACACCUGUUUAUGAGCAGUACGUGAAUUACUCUCUAGUUUACAGGCUUCUUAUGCAUCUAUUACUCUAUUUGAUUUGUAUAGCCAUGUUAGCUAUGAAUCACAGCCACAAGUUAAACAUAUGGAUGCAAUCAUUGUCACACUCACCCCAUUCACCAUAACUCAUACUGUAAAGCAGGAAAUCAAGACUGAAAAUGGCAUGCUGUUGGUUAAGUAGGAGCCAAGGACUGCUAUUCGUUCUUCUCAUUGAGUGUCCGUUUCUCUUUAUAUUAAUCACACACUGUACUCCGUGUCUUUCCACAAUCUAAGGUGCCAUAAUCGUAUAUCCCUAUAAUUUACAUCGGAGCUGAAGUGCUAGAAAAAUAUUUGAUUGAUUGAAGAAUGCAAGAUUGUUUCAACUUGCCAAAGAAGUUGGAUUCCACUGUGUAUCAUUCCCACAUCUCAUUCAAAUAUAGACAUCUUUUCUUUACUUCAUAGCAUUCUCCUCCAUCCCAGAGUGGUAUAAAUAUUAUAAAAUGAAACAAGCUCAGAGAGAAGAAAGAGAAGUAUUGGAGGGAUGUCUGGAGGUUUUCUUUUUCUUUUGUUAAUGCAAGGCUUACGUGAAGUGAGACCUCUCUAGAAUACACUAAGAUGUAGUUUCACUUCGUUCUUAACAAACCACGGUGACUAUCUACAGAGGGUGAAACGUGCAGGAAAGCGCAAUUUAUGAUGGCUGGGCAGAUGGUGUGCUAAAUGUCUUCUGUACAUUAAUUCACUUCACCAUAGGUCAUAGAAGGCACUUUUACAAGAAAUGAACAAGCUUUUGGCCGCUCUGUUUAAUGCAUUAUAUCUUUACAUUUAUUUAAUCAAAAUGAUCAUAUUGUGUAAAUAAAUGAGGGUUAUCAUGAAAAUUAAAUGUUAUGUUGUAACUAAUUCAUUUUGAAAUAAUUUAACAGUCAUUGGAUUUUACACUAAUUGCUUUAUGAGAUUAAUGAAUUUACAUAGUUAUAUGAGUCUCAUUACUUGGCAGAGUAUAGAAAGAAAAAGAAGCUAAUAAACUGGUCCAAGAACUCCAUUUGGUAUGAAGCAAGUAGAACGUCAACCUCUGCUUUAAAGCAGCAGCAGUUGAACCUCAUAGAGGAAAAGAACUGAUCAUACACUCUGGCUUUCCUGUUUCAGCACUAAAGCCAUGUAUGGAAAGUAUUUACCCAUGUAAAUAUACAUCAUCAUUAUUAACUGGGACAGAAUAUUUUACAUUUGGGGCACAAGGUCCAGGAAGAGAAAACGAGUACGUAGAAGUUUAGACACGUUACUCCAAGUUAGAAAUGCCGAAGGCCAGUGAUGAUACCAGGAGGAGAUGGUUGAACUUAAGAUACAAGUUGAAGGUCCUGUCCUUUUGAAUGUGUACAGACCACUCUGUUCAAUUAAAGGACAUUUUACAAGGAUUCAAGCAGAGUGUGAAAGCACCUCAGGAAAACUGUAGUCCCUGGUCCAGUAACAUUAGGGAGGUCUUUGUCCCCCUAGAUCUGAAGAGCAAAGAAGCAGGGAGAGAAGGUAAGCAGAACCAAAGAGCAGCCACUUUAGAUUAAGCCGUGGCCUUUGGUGGAAACAUACAGUAAAUUAUGAAUAGAAAUACAAAAUGCAGUAAAAAAAAAUGCAUUACAAAAUAUAGUGAAAAAUUCAGUAGAAAAAAUAAUACAGUGAACUCUGGUCAACUGACAAGAGGGAGCUGGCCAAUUACCCACUUCACUUUCACUCUCUUCUGCCCCAAGCUCCUGCUGGUGCUGUCCCACGUGCUGAGCAAACAGCCGCUGAAGAAGCAGCGAGAGGAUUGUCAGGCACAGCUUUGCGGGGCAAGGGCAGUGGGGUGAGGGGAGAAGAGUGUGUGGAAAAUGCGUAUGGAUGAUGCGCAGCCACCUAGGUAUUAGCUCUCUUGCUUCGGGAACACAUUAUCACAAACGGAGGAGCUUAAAACAAUACACAUUCGUCAUGAAGUUCUGGAGUCUAAAUGGCUUUCACUGGGCUAAAAUCAAGAUGUCAGUGUGGUUGAAUUCCUUCAGGGGGCGCUGAAGGCGAACUCCUUUCCUUGUCUCUUUGCACUUCUAUUUGUUGGUUCAUGGCUCCAGCCUCCAGGUUCAAGGCCAGCAUCAUAGCGUCUUCAAAUGUCUCCCUCUGAACUAAUCGCUGCUUCCGCCAUCACAACACAUUCCCUAACAACGACGCACCCUUGUCCCUCUGUCCCUGCUAAUAACUCUUGUGGUUUCAAUUCAUUAGACCCACUUGACUAAUCUAGGAUGAUCUUGCCAUCUAAAAAUCCUUAUUUUAAUCAGGUCUGCAAAGUAGUUUUUGACAUGUAAGGUAGCAUAUUUGCAGGUUCUAGGAAUUAGGAUUUAGGGAGGCAUAUUCUGUCUAUUAAAAUUUGAAAGUAAAGGCACAUGUUUCUAUAAUAGGCAUCAAAGGAGAAGGGAUGUACUCUCGAGUCGAAUCUGUGAUCUAAUUCUCAUUCUAAAAUAUAUUUGCUUUAUAAUUUGAGAACACAGUAUUUUAUUUUUUAAAUUUCUCAAUAUUUGUUACUAUCUUCAUUUAUGACUAAAUAUAUAUAUUACAUUAGUCAUUUAUAUGACAUCAUGAAUAAAGAUGAUCAGAAAAUAGCAUUUUCUGGCACAUUACAAAAUAUCUUAAAAUAUAUACUUGUUUAGGUAAAAUACAUAUAUGCAUGAAUUGUGUACGCAGUCACACAUAGAGCCUUCAGAAUAUAUGCUUUAUGUAUCAUAUAUGUGAUUUUUAAUAUAAAUUUAACGCAAAUUACUCCCUGAGUAUUAAUAUGAUUAUGAGUAUCACUGUUGUUACUCCCUCUGCUUAUAGAUAAUGGUUUACUAACAUAUGCACAUGUUAGACUUCUGUGAUUUUACUUAGAAUGUAUGUUUCAGACUGUUGCAUAUUCCUGUGCUCCUAUUCUGCAUGUAGUGUAAACAAGACGACUGAUAUCAAGAGGAAAUCAUUUUCUUACUUACGGACUAGUAAGUACAAAUGUAUAAUUUUGUUUUCAAAACAAUUACUAGUUUCUGCCUCCUAGACAAAUCUGCUAUAAAUCUGAGUCAUGUGUCUAUGUAUACAAUGGCCAUUCUGUGGGGGAAAACCUAAAACUAAAACUAAAAUUUUCUGCCAAACCAGAAAAACCUCUCCACAAAUGUCAAAAAGAACGACACUGUUUUCAUUAUUGAAUAAGACUCAAGCCACACUGUUGUGUGUAUCACAGGCCAUCUGCUAAUGAGAUUGUAAAGACAGAGUGAAAUCUCACCCCUUAAUAUAGCCAGGCAGAUACAAUCUAUUACAUGCACGUCCUUGAGAUAAAGUAUAACUUGUUAUCAUACGAAAGGACUUGACAGCGAUAUUUGCCAUAUAUAGUUCAUCUGAAUUUCACCUGAUAAUGGGAUGGCCAUCUGGGUUAGUUAAUUGCCUUUUU
rnacentral:lncRNA from 1 species